rnacentral:misc_RNA from 1 species
UGGCUCUCGCAUCGAUGAAGAACGCAGCGAAAUGCGAUAAGUAAUGUGAAUUGCAGAAUUCAGUGAAUCAUCGAAUCUUUGAACGCAAAUUGCGCCCUUUGGUAUUCCGAAGGGCAUGCCUGUUUGAGUGUCAUAUAGACCUUCACCCAACCAUUUGCUUGGUUGCCGGUGCUUUGGACGUUUUGCCAUUAACCCUGGCUCGUCUUAAAUGUCUGAGUGGGAAACCUUUGGCGUGAUAAGUCUUCGCUUUAGUACCUCCACUAUAAUAACACUUUUAUCUCUGACCUCAAAUCAGGUAGGACUACCCGCUGA